rnacentral:rRNA from 1 species
AGUGAACGCUGGCGGUAGGUCUAACACAUGCAAGUCGAACGGCAGCACAGUAAGAGCUUGCUCUUACGGGUGGCGAGUGGCGGACGGGUGAGGAAUACAUCGGAAUCUACUUUUUCGUGGGGGAUAACGUAGGGAAACUUACGCUAAUACCGCAUACGACCUACGGGUGAAAGCAGGGGAUCUUCGGACCUUGCGCGAUUGAAUGAGCCGAUGUCGGAUUAGCUAGUUGGCGGGGUAAAGGCCCACCAAGGCGACGAUUCGUAGCUGGUCUGAGAGGAUGAUCAGCCACACUGGAACUGAGACACGUUCCAGACUCCUACGGGAGGCAGCAGUGGGGAAUAUUGGACAAUGGGCGCAAGCCUGAUCCAGCCAUACCGCGUGGGUGAAGAAGGCCUUCGGGUUGUAAAGCCCUUUUGUUGGGAAAGAAAAGCAGCAGGUUAAUACCCCGCUGUUCUGACGGUACCCAAAGAAUAAGCACCGGCUAACUUCGUG